rnacentral:rRNA from 1 species
GCCGCGUGAGGGAUGACGGCCUUCGGGUUGUAAACCUCUUUCGGUACCGACGAAACGCCGAUGAUGGUGGUGACGGUCGGUACAGAAGAAGCACCGGCCAACUACCUGCCAACUGCCGCGGUAAUACCUAGGGUGCGAGCGUUGUCCGGAAUUAUUGGGCGUAAAGGGCUCGUAAGCGGUUUGUCGCGUCGGGAGUGAAAACAACGGGCUUAACUCGGUGCUUGCUUUCGAUACGGGCAGACUACAGGUAUGCAGGGGAGAACGGAAUUCCUGGUGAAGCGGUGAAAUGCGCAGAUAUCACGAGGAACACCGGUGGCGAAGGCGGUUCUCUGGGCAUUACCUGACGCUGAGGAGCGAAAGUGUGGGGAGCGAACAGGAUUAGAUACCCUGGUAGUCCACACCGUAAACGUUGGGCGCUAGGUGUGGGGCCUAUUCCAUGGGUUCCGUGCCGCAGCUCACGCAUUAAGCGCCCCGCCUGGGGAGUACGGCCGCAAGGCUAAAACUCAAAGGAAUUGACGGGGGCCCGCACAAGCGGCGGAGCAUGCGAGAUUAAUUCUAUGCAACGCGAAGAACCUUACCUGGGUUUGACAUAC